AUCUGGAAGAAUCUGGAGACAGGUGCUGCAUGGCUGUCGUCAGCUCGUGUCGUGAGAUGUUGGGUUAAGUCCCGCAACGAGCGCAACCCUUGCCUUUAGUUGCCAGCAGUUCGGCUGGGCACUCUAAAGGGACUGCCGGUGUUAAACCGGAGGAAGGUGGGGAUGACGUCAAGUCCUCAUGGCCUUUAUGACCAGGGCUACACACGUACUACAAUGGCCGAUACAAAGGGCAGCGACACUGCGAGGUGAAGCCAAUCCCGUAAAAUCGGUCUCAGUCCGGAUUGGAGUCUGCAACUCGACUCCAUGAAGUUGGAAUCGCUAGUAAUCGUGAAUCAGAAUGUCACGGUGAAUACGUUCCCGGGCCUU
rnacentral:rRNA from 1 species